UGGCUCAGAACGAACGCUGGCGGCAGGCUUAACACAUGCAAGUCGAGCGCCCCGCAAGGGGAGCGGCAGACGGGUGAGUAACACGUGGGAACGUACCCUUUACUACGGAAUAACGCAGGGAAACUUGUGCUAAUACCGUAUGUGCCCUUCGGGGGAAAGAUUUAUCGGUAAGGGAUCGGCCCGCGUUGGAUUAGCUAGUUGGUGGGGUAAAGGCCUACCAAGGCGACGAUCCAUAGCUGGUCUGAGAGGAUGAUCAGCCACAUUGGGACUGAGACACGGCCCAAACUCCUACGGGAGGCAGCAGUGGG
rnacentral:rRNA from 1 species